UUGGCAAAUGCUUCUCUCUGGGCAAUUUCGUUGUUGGGGAAGGCAACUUGACAAGUGGACCAUCUACAUCUUCAGUUGAAGGUAAGUUGAAAAGACUGACUACAAUAGCUUGAACCAGAUCAGUGCCCUUUCUAACACAUUCCUCCACCAAGUCCUCCCUGGAAGAAGGGACAGAGGGGAAGUGGUGAUGAGGGUCAAAAGACAUCAGAUGGCCAAGGUCUACCUCGUAUUGCUGCUGUUCAGUAUCCAUGGGAGAUCGCUACUUUACUAUGUUAGAACAAGUGUGUGGGCGUCUCCUUCAGCUCAGCUGCCCGAU
rnacentral:misc_RNA from 1 species